rnacentral:rRNA from 1 species
UACGUAGGGGGCGAGCGUUGUCCGGAUUUAUUGGGCGUAAAGAGCGUGUAGGCGGCCACGCAGGUCCGUUGUGAAAACUGGAGGCUCAACCUCCAGCUGUCGACGGAAACCGUAUGGCUAGAGUCCGGAAGAGGAGAGUGGAAUUCCUGGUGUAGCGGUGAAAUGCGCAGAUAUCAGGAAGAACACCAAUGGCGAAGGCAGCUCUCUGGGACGGUACUGACGCUGAGACGCGAAAGCGUGGGGAGCAAACAGG